AGCAGUACAUAUACUUAAAAAAAAAACUGGAAUGAUACAAAGAAGAUUAGCAUGGCCCUUGCGCAAGCAUGAUAUACAAAUUCAUGAAGCAUUCCAUGCUAAA
rfam:Homo sapiens chromosome 3, GRCh38 reference primary assembly.